rnacentral:sRNA from 1 species
AUAAGCUUGGAAGGAUUUUAGGUAUGGAGGAAAUUGAGAGAAAAUGUAAUACA